UGAUAACUUUCUGUUUGAAGUAGGGCGAGUGUCCUCGAGAAUCAUAAGAUUGGUGGAAAACAUGAUGGAUCAGUGGUCUUCAAGAAUCAGAGGAUUGGUAGAAAACAUGACUGAUCAGUGGUUUGACGAAUACCUCUUAUGAAAUAGGAUAUUACAACAGUAUUGAAUCUUCAACUUACAAGCCAUCUGGUCAAAAUUAGGAUCUCGGCUUAUGCCAUUCAAGGCAUAACAUUUCAAGGAGGGAAGAGAAAACAGGCAAACCAGGUGAGGAACCAUGGAUAUAUAAAAGAGGAGGCAGAAGAAAAUAUAAAUUGGUGAACC